AAGCGCUGGAAACGGCGUCUAAUACUGGAUAUGUGACGUGACCGCAUGGUCUGCGUCUGGAAAGAAUUUCUGUUGGGGAUGGGCUCGCGGCCUAUCAGCUUGUUGGUGAGGUAAUGGCUCACCAAGGCGUCGACGGGUAGCCGGCCUGAGAGGGUGACCGGCCACACUGGGACUGAGACACGGCCCAGACUCCUACGGGAGGCAGCAGUGGGGAAUAUUGCACAAUGGGCGCAAGCCUGAUGCAGCAACGCCGCGUGAGGGACGACGGCCUUCGGGUUGUAAACCUCUUUUAGCAGGGAAGAAGCGAAAGUGACGGUACCUGCAGAAAAAGCGCCGGCUAACUACGUGCCAGCAGCCGCGGUAAUACGUAGGGCGCAAGCGUUAUCCGGAAUUAUUGGGCGUAAAGAGCUCGUAGGCGGUUUGUCGCGUCUGCUGUGAAAUCCGGAGGCUCAACCUCCGGCCUGCAGUGGGUACGGGCAGACUAGAGUGCGGUAGGGGAGAUUGGAAUUCCUGGUGUAGCGGUGGAAUGCGCAGAUAUCAGGAGGAACACCGAUGGCGAAGGCAGAUCUCUGGGCCGUAACUGACGCUGAGGAGCGAAAGGGUGGGGAGCAAACAGGCUUAGAUACCCUGGUAGUCCACCCCGUAAACGUUGGGAACUAGUUGUGGGGUCCAUUCCACGGAUUCCGUGACGCAGCUAACGCAUUAAGUUCCCCGCCUGGGGAGUACAGCCGCAAGGCUAAAACUCAAAGGAAUUGACGGGGGACCCGCACAAGCGGCGGAGCAUGCGGAUUAAUUCGAUGCAACGCGAAGAACCUUACCAAGGCUUGACAUAUACAAGAACGGGCCAGAAAUG
rnacentral:rRNA from 1 species